rnacentral:rRNA from 1 species
UACGUAGGUGGCGAGCGUUGUUCGGAUUUAUUGGGCGUAAAGGGUCCGCAGGAGGUUUGUUAAAAUUGGGGUGAAAUCCCGGAGCUCAACUCCGGAACUGCCUUGAUGACUGAUGAACUAGAGUGCUGGAGAGGUAAGCGGAAUUUCAGGUGUAGCGGUGGAAUGCGUAGAUAUCUGAAAGAACACCGAUGGCGAAGGCAGCUUACUGGACAGCAACUGACUCUCAGGGACGAAAGCGUGGGGAGCAAACAGG